AAACAGGCUCUUUUAAGAGUCACCCAUAUUGAAAACAAUGUGAAC
rfam:Salmo salar isolate Sally breed double haploid chromosome ssa07, whole genome shotgun sequence.